CCUACGGGCGGCAGCAGUGGGGAAUAUUGCACAAUGGGGGAAACCCUGAUGCAGCGACGCCGCGUGAGUGAAGAAGUAAUUCGUUACGUAAAGCUCUAUCAGCAGGGAAGAAACACUGACCUUACGGUCCGCAGACGGUACCUGAGUAAGAAGCCCCGGCUAACUACGUGCCAGCAGCCGCGGUAAUACGUAGGGGGCAAGCGUUAUCCGGAUUUACUUGGUGUAAAGGGAGCGUAGACGGUGCGCCAAGUCUGGAGUGAAAGGCCGCAGCUUAACUGCGGAACUGCUUUGGAAACUGGCGAACUAGAGUGCGGGAGGGGUAAGCGGAAUUCCUAGUGUAGCGGUGAAAUGCGUAGAUAUUAGGAGGAACACCGGUGGCGAAGGCGGCUUACUGGACCGUAACUGACGUUGAGGCUCGAAAGCGUGGGGAGCAAACAGGAGUAGAUACCCCUGUAGUC
rnacentral:rRNA from 1 species